UCCAUUGAGCCUAUCCACGUCAGAUUAAAAAAUCAACCAAUGAACAAUUUGGUUUUUGCCACGUCACACCGUCUUGGGCAGUGUUUGGGCUGGUUUUUUUUUGAUCCGUGAACUGAACUAUUUGGCCCAAAAGUCCAGUCCAAGAGAAACCCUAGAACCUGAGACUGGGUCGAUGAUUUCCUUCCACAUCUCCACUUUUGAGCGGAUCCUCUAUCUCCUAGAUCCAUCGUUUCCUCUUCUUCAAUAGAUCAUCGAUCUCCUAGCUAUUCACGAGGAGAAAAGGUUUCUACAAGCAUACAACAAAGAAAGGUAUCUCUAAGUCAAAGCCUUCUUUCCGGAAAGCCCCUCCGAAACACGCAGCCACCCAAGUUUCUGAUGCUAUGCAGCAGGAGAUGUUGAUUUCGCAUGGCUUCUUCGAUGUCAACGGUACCGUUUACUUGAGAUCGUUCUCUCGACUGCACAACUUCGUACACUUCUUCCUCAAAUUCGCUUUUAAUUGUUUUCACUGAGUCAAUGGCGGGUCGUGGUAAAACUCUCGGAUCCCGCGUUGCCAAGAAGGCGACGUCUCGGAGCAGCAAAGCCGGUCUCCAAUUUCCCGUCGGUCGUAUCGCCCGGUACUUGAAAAACUGCAAGUACGCGUUCGCCGGAGCUCCGGUUUACCUCGCCGCCGUUCUCGAGUACCUUGCUGCGGAGAUUCUGUAUAUAUACACACUUGCCGCGGGAAUCGCUUCUCACCGGAGAGAUACGUAUCGCCGGAACCACCCCGUCGCUUGAUUCUCGAUUCGGCGGAGAGAUACCCUAAUUUCUCUUUUAUUGUUGAACUCAAUCGAAGAUAAGGCAAUGGUGAAAAGCGAAGUGAAGACCGAGAAGCUUGAUGACAUCACAAUCAAAGACCAUGAGCACCGUCGUCGCGUGGUUAGCUCCGCCGAGGCCUUAGAUAGAAAGUUCAAGAGAACCGUCCUCUGCGUGGCGAAACCGUCUUACCUUCUGAGUCUGCUUGAGCGAAGUAGUACCCGAUGCAACUACCUCAAACGGUUGCCGAAGAUCCUUAGUGAGCUGCUUCGCCAGAGAAACUGGAGAGAAGCUAGCGGUGUACUUAGCGUCUUGAUGCAAGGGACUAUGGGAGAUGGGUCUCCUUCCAUGAACCGCCUCAAAUACGAGGUUCUGUCUUUUUCUUUUUCUUUUCCGAAAUUGUGUCUGUGUAGGUUCAGUUUAGUUAAACCGUGAUUUAGUAAAGCGGUUUUGGGUUUUUGUUGAAUUUUUGAAGCUAGCGGUGUACUUAGCGUCUUGAUGCAAGGGACUAUGGGAGAUGGGUCUCCUUCCAUGAACCGCCUCAAAUACGAGGUUCUUGAAUUGGCUGGAAACGCGGCGAGGGACAACAAGAAGACGAGAUGCCACGUCAUAUCCAGUUGGCUGUGAGGAACGACGAGGAGCUGAGCAAGUUGCUUGGGGAUGUGACGAUUGCUAACGGAUGUGUGAUGCCCAACAUUCACAACCUUCUUCUUCCCAAGAAGGCUGGUGGUGGUGCUUCCCCGCGUUCCGGUGACGACAAGUAGAUUUAGUUAUGUGUUUGUGGGGUUUUGACGAGGAGGUUUUAGGUGAAUCUCUGUGUACGUUUUAGAGUCUUUUGUAAUCCAGUAACAAUAAUAGUGGAGAGAGUGUCAACAAUUCGAAGAACAAGAGUGGAAACAUGAAAUCAUAGAUUUUUUUAUCUAUUUAUUUUGUCAUUUCUGGUCUGAAUAAUGAAAGUUGAUAUUAUCUGUUCUUUGCUUCGGUUUGCGAUGAAUCCGUAAAAUUCGAAGAGAAUGGUAUAUACUAUGCUCUGUUUGCUGCUUAAAAAUUUGACUUCGGAAUUUUUUUUUUCUUUUUUUUUUGUAAAAUGCUUUACCUCUGAAUUUUUUUCACAGCACGUUUCUACGACCUAACCUCCUUUUUCAAUUUUAAAAAUAAUCUGUUCAAAAGCACUUUCAUGAGAAAUAUUAUUAGUACAAAUUUAUUUAUAACUUUUAACAGAAUAAAUAUCUAUACUAAUACUAAAAAAGAUAUAUGAGUUCCAUUAAACCUAUCCACGUAAGCAUAAAAAACAACCAAUAAAAAACCUUCUUAAAAACCUUCUUUUUUUGUAAAGCACUUUCAUGAGAAAUAUUAUUAGUACAAAUAUUAUUUAUAACUUUUAACAGAAUAAAUAUCUAUACUAAUACUAAAAAAAGAUAUAUGAGUUCCAUUAAACCUAUCCACGUAAGCAUAAAAAACAACCAAUAAAAAACCUUCUUUUUGACACGUAACAUUAGGUUUCUUCUUCUUUUCAUGUUUGCGACCUUCCCCAAUUUUUUUCCAGAAACUUGAAGCGUCUUUCCAAUCUCCUCUUCGCAUCUCCCUUCACUACUCCUAUUUAAAACAGUUUGUCCAAUCUUUCAUGCGAUCAGAAUCGCGUUCCUCUAUAGGAAAAGAAGAUAAAGUCAUGGCCAUGAAAUUUGUUAGAUCCACCGGAAAUCUUGAAUUCUACGGUUCCAAAAGCAAAGAGAUUUAUCAGAGAUAAGAUCCGAAGGAAUGUUAGUUUAGAAGCGUAACCCGUGUUUCGAUCCUGUCGGAGCUCCACCGCGACCACCGAGGACCAUAGUCAAAAGCGUAACCCGUGUUUCGAUCCUGUCGGAGCUCCACCGCGACCACCGAGGACCAUAGUCAAAAGCGUAACCCGUGUUUCGAUCCUGUCGGAGCUCCACCGCGACCACCGAGGACCAUAGUCAAAAUUUCAUUCGCUGCAGAAGGGUAAGUGACAAUCACUUCUAUGGCACCAUCUCAGAAUGUACUGCCAAGUGGAUUCGGCUUAAAAAUCUAUAAGGACUUGAAGUUCUCAACCUUCCACCUGAUAUCCAAGAGAUCCUACAACACUUGAGAAUGAGAGUACUGCAAGAACCAUUCAGUGGCUCUAAAAUCAUACAUGGGGAAACUAUCCGAGCAUAAGUUUGGGGCAUGUGACUGGUACAGUGUUGCGUCCUCCAGGAUAUGCACAUUCUUGGUGUUCAUUCUCUUCUUAUUAUUUUGAUAGAAGGGAACUGACUGCUUUUCCUUUAUUAGUGUCGGUGGCUGAAAAUCCUUCUAGCUACGGUUGUGAAGUUGAUCAGCCUUUUAGAUAAGAUUGUGACAGGUGCUCAGAUGGGAGUUAUCAGUCUCAUAAUGAGAGGUGAGCAUAUAUUUCUCAUGAUUGUAUUGCAAAACCCUCCUGCAGGGUCCUAUUCUUUGAGGGAAAAUAUAUAUGGUCCCUUGAUCUCCGGUUGGCUUCUCUAACUGCAAUCAGGAAUUGGUCAGUUCACUUACAGAAUGUGUUCUUUACAUUAAAAGAAAAAGAUUCUGCCGGGGAGAUCCAGUUGAGAUGGAUCACCAUAAUCUGCAAUGCUCCCCAUCACUGAUUAAAAUUUUCCAGAGAUCGACUGCCUGAUGGAAUACUACAUAGAAGGAUAGGCAAAGCUAAAGAUGAAGAUUGCAAAGGGUGAUGAAUGUGAUUAGGAUAAAAUGUGAUAAAGAAUAAGAUUAGUGGAGUGCUUGAGAGAUAAGUGUAAU